CGCACCUUGCGCUCCUUGGUAUUCCUCGGAGCAUGCCUGUUUGAGUAUCAUGAAAUCUUCAAAACAAAUCUUUCGUUCGAUCGAUCGACUUUGUUUUGGACUUGGGGGCUUGCAGAUUCACGUCUGCUCCUCUUAAAUUCAUUAGCUGGAUCUCAGUGAGCUCGGUUCCACUCGGCGUGAUAAGUAUAUCACUCGCUGAGGACACUGUUAAAAAGGUGGCCGGGAUCGCGGAUUGAACCGCUUCUAAUGGUCUAUUAGCUUAGACAAAUCCAUUUAUGAUCUGAUCUCAAAUCAGGUAGGACUACCCGCUGAACUUAA
rnacentral:misc_RNA from 1 species